rnacentral:rRNA from 1 species
UGAUAAAGUGGCGCCAGCGGCCGGCGAAAACCAGAGUGUGACAGUGUUAACCGGAAUGCAUGGGCGUAAAGCGUGAGCGUGCGGUUGUGUAAGACCGAGGUGACAACCCCGGGCUCAACCUGGGAACUUCCUUGGUGACUGCAAGGCUAGAGUACGGCAGAGGGGGAUGGAAUUCCGCGUGUAGCAGUGAAAUGCGUAGAUAUGCGGAGGAACACCAAUGGCGAAGGCAAUCCCCUGGGCCUGUACUGACGCUCAUGCACGAAAGCGUGGGGAGCAAACAGGAUUAGAUACCCCGGUAGUC